rnacentral:misc_RNA from 1 species
GAUGAAGAACGCAGCGAAAUGCGAUAAGUAAUGUGAAUUGCAGAAUUCAGUGAAUCAUCGAAUCUUUGAACGCACAUUGCGCUCGCCAGUAUUCUGGUGGGCAUGCCUGUUCGAGCGUCAUUUCAACCAUCAAGCCCCCGGCUUGUGUUGGGGACCUGCGGCUGCCGCAGGCCCUGAAAACCAGUGGCGGGCUCGCUAGUCACUCCGAGCGUAGUAGUUACAUCUCGCUCAGGGCGUGCUGCGGGUUCCGGCCGUUAAAAGCCUUAUUUACCCAAGGUUGACCUCGGAUCAGGUAGGAAGACCCGCUGAACUUAAGCAUAUCAAUAAGCGGAGGA